AGAAAUCACUGCUAAAACCGCAUAUGCCGUGAACAUCGCAUGAUGAAAACGGGAAAAGAGCAAUCUGCUAAUAGAUGGGCUUGCGUCUGAUUAGCUAGUUGGUGUGGUAAAGGCAUACCAAGGCAACGAUCAGUAGCCGGACUGAGAGGUUGAACGGCCACAUUGGGACUGAGAUACGGCCCAGACUCCUACGGGAGGCAGCAGUCGGGAAUAUUGCGCAAUGGAGGAAACUCUGACGCAGUGACGCCGCGUAUGGGAAGAAGGUUUUCGGAUUGUAAACCAUUUUAGACAAGGAAGAAACUUUAUAGUACUUGUAGAAUAAGCUCCGGCUAACUACGUGCCAGCAGCCGCGGUAAUACGUAGGGAGCAAGCGUUAUCCGGAUUUAUUGGGUGUAAAGGGUGCGUAGACGGGAAGGUAAGUUAGUUGUGAAAUCCCUCGGCUCAACUGAGGAACUGCGACUAAAACUGCUUUUCUUGAGUGCUGGAGAGGAAAGUGGAAUUCCUAGUGUAGCGGUGAAAUGCGUAGAUAUUAGGAGGAACACCAGUGGCGAAGGCGACUUUCUGGACAGUAACUGACGUUGAGGCACGAAAGUGUGGGGAGCAAACAGGAUUAGAUACCCUGGUAG
rnacentral:rRNA from 1 species